CCCCUCUCAGGGUCACACCUGAGGAGUUUCCAUUACUCUACCAGUCCUGGCUAUGGGAGAGAGAGUCAAGCAGAGGCCUAACCAUUCCAUUCCUAGCUUGGGCAGUGGCUAGUGAGUGGAAGGCAAUCUGGUACAAGU
rnacentral:snoRNA from 1 species